rnacentral:rRNA from 1 species
AGUGAACGCUGGCGGUAUGCCUAACACAUGCAAGUCGAACGAGUGGCGGACGGGUGAGCAAUUCAUCGACAUCUACUCUAUCGUGGGGGAUAACGGAGGGAACCUUACGCUAAUACCGCAUACGAUGGUAUGAGCCGAUGUAGGAUUAGCUAGUUGGCGGGGUAAAGGCCCACCAAGGCGAAGAGCCGUAGCUGGUCUGAGAGGAUGAUCAGCCACACUGGAACUGAGACACGGUCCAGACUCCUACGGGAGGCAGCAGUGGGGAAUAUUGGACAAGGGGUGAAAGACUGAUCCAGCCAGGCCGCGUGUGUGAAGAAGGUCUUCGGAUUGUAAAACACUUUAAGUAGGGAGGCGUUACCAACAGAAUAAGCACCGGCUAACUACGUGCCAGCAGCCGCGGUAAUUC